rnacentral:rRNA from 1 species
CCUACGGGUGGCAGCAGUGAGGAAUAUUGGUCAAUGGUCGUAAGCCUGAACCAGCCAAGUCGCGUGAGGGAUGAAGGUUCUAUGUAUCGUAAACCUCUUUUAUAAGGGAAUAAAGUCCGGGACGUGUCCCGUGUUGUGUGUACCUUAUGAAUAAGGAUCGGCUAACUCCGUGCCAGCAGCCGCGGUAAUACGGAGGAUGCGAGCGUUAUCCGGAUUUAUUGGGUUUAAAGGGUGCGUAGGCGGCCUUUUAAGUCAGCUGUGAAAGUCUGUGGCUCAACCCUAGAAUCGCCUUUGAAACUGGGAGGCUUGAGUAGGUUAGAGGCAUGCGGAAUGCGCGGUGUAGCGGUGAAAUGCAUAGAUAUCACGCAGAACUCCGAUUGCGAAGGCAGCAUGCCAAGUCAUGACUGACGCUGAUGCACGAAAGCGUGGGGAUCGAACAGGAUUAGAUACCCUUGUAGUC